rnacentral:rRNA from 1 species
UCUGGGUCCAACCUCCCACCCGUGUUUAUUUUACCUUGUUGCUUCGGCGGGCCCGCCUUAACUGGCCGCCGGGGGGCUUACGCCCCCGGGCCCGCGCCCGCCGAAGACACCCUCGAACUCUGUCUGAAGAUUGAAGUCUGAGUGAAAAUAUAAAUUAUUUAAAACUUUCAACAACGGAUCUCUUGGUUCCGGCAUCGAUGAAGAACGCAGCGAAAUGCGAUACGUAAUGUGAAUUGCAAAUUCAGUGAAUCAUCGAGUCUUUGAACGCACAUUGCGCCCCCUGGUAUUCCGGGGGGCAUGCCUGUCCGAGCGUCAUUGCUGCCCUCAAGCCCGGCUUGUGUGUUGGGCCCCGUCCCCCGAUCUCCGGGGGACGGGCCCGAAAGGCAGCGGCGGCACCGCGUCCGGUCCUCGAGCGUAUGGGGCUUUGUCACCCGCUCUGUAGGCCCGGCCGGCGCUUGCCGAUCAACCCAAAUUUUUAUCCAGGUUGACCUCGGAUCAGGUAGGGAUACCCGCUGAACUUAAGCAUAUCAAUAGACGGAGGA